rnacentral:rRNA from 1 species
GAUGAACGCUAGCGACAGGCUUAACACAUGCAAGUCGAGGGGCAGCACGGGAGUAGCAAUACAACUGGUGGCGACCGGCGCACGGGUGAGUAACGCGUAUGCAACCUACCUAUCAGAGGGGAAUAACCCGGCGAAAGUCGGACUAAUACCGCAUAAAACAGGGGCACCGCAUGGUGAUAUUUGUUAAAGAAAUUCGCUGAUAGAUGGGCAUGCGUUCCAUUAGGUAGUUGGUGAGGUAACGGCUCACCAAGCCGACGAUGGAUAGGGGAACUGAGAGGUUGGUCCCCACACUGGUACUGAGACACGGACCAGACUCCUACGGGAGGCGGCAGUGAGGAAUAUUGGUCGAUGGGCGGGAGCCUGAACCAGCCAAGUCGCGUGAAGGAAGAAGGAUCUAUGGUUCGUAAACUUCUUUUGCAGGGGAAUAAAGUGCAGGACGUGUCCUGUUUUGUAUGUACCCUGAGAAUAAGGAUCGGCUAACUCCGUGCCAGCCGCCGCCGUAAAAC